UUGUGGCCUUUAACUUGAAGGCAGACAGAAAAGAAUUGAAUAUGAGUAUUGAUUUAGCAUCACGUGAAAUUAAGCCUGAAGGGUAUUAUAUCCUCAUAAAGUAUAAUUACUCCUAAAGUUUUAUCUCAAACUGUCUCAGGAACUCUCACCAGCAGGUAAUAAACAGACUUGGAAAAAUGUCACUGGCCACAUUAAACAUCCCCAGUCUGGACAUGGAGGGCAAUCUUAUGUACAGCUCAGUGUAAUGGGAACAGCUCUAGGUUCUAAAAGCUCCGCUGGCUCUGAUGUCCUGUGAACGCCACAACAUGAAAAGAGAAGCGAAGGAGAGUUCUCUAAUAAACAGAAAUUUGUGCACGAUUGGUAUGUGUGUGGAAUACAGCAGAGGCUUAAUAAGGAUCUGACAAAGGCAUGAAACUCUAAUAAUGAUCAUCCUUUUUUUCUUAUCCUCUGUUUCUAAGCACAGCACAUACCUGACCUGUUAAAUCAACUGGCUGACUAGGGGCCAUUUUGUCAGUGAAAAAUAAUAAAAUAAAAUAAAAACAUUAAUGAAGAAAUAAACCUAGAAAAGAACUGAUGUCACUGAGAUUUAGUGGCCAGAAAAACAGCUGCCUGCUAGUGGACCAACAAGCAUCAGCAAAGGUAGAAAUGCUUUUCCUGGGGCCUUGGAGGCACCUCAGGGUUUCACUUGUUAUUCUCACUUCCAAGUGACUCAUACCCCAAAUAUAUGAAGGACUCAGAAAUUGUGCCUUGUGAGGAUAGUGUUCUGAGGACAAAUGGUUAACCACCCCCCUGCAUGAGAAACCGACUAGGUGGGCUGGAGAGAGCCUACUGGGGACUGGAACCAGUGACUGACCUCACCAGAAGCAGAAGGGGCACCUGCCAUUUCUCAAGAAAGCUGUGACCUAAAAAGUUUAGUCAUCAGUCCAAAUUCCUCCAGGAGACCAUUAGAAACUGCCUCUCUGUUUCCCUGAGUCUUGUAGCUAGAGAUGUAACAGGUCAUUUUGGGGACUUCAUUGCCGUGGCCCCUGCUGGGUCAUCUGCUGCGAACAUGGCAUAUCGUUUUCACUCACUGCCAAACACUUAGUGCAGUGAACCUUGGAGGAGCUCCCUGGGCACACAGGGAAAGGACGCUGAAAACAGGUCAGUCAUGUUUUAUGAAUCAGGCCUGAGAAAAGGUAAGCACACCUCCAACCACAGGCGGCACAAUCAAUCUGCUGAUCUUUUUUUAAAAAGUUAGGAGAGUAAGCAAUAAAUCAGCACUGAGGGGGUAGAUCCUCUGCCAUCGAACUGUCUUGAGAUGCAAUUUUAAAUGACUUUGUAGUGACCUUGCUUACCUAAUUACAGGGCUCAAAAGAGAUUUUCCUUACAUAUUCCAUGCGGUGGUGACCGGCUUGGAACAACGUCGUGUUUGUCUCAGAUGGCCACUUCUAACAUGAAAGGCCUGUCUGAUGACUGUCCUCUUCUUUGCAAAUGGACAGACUUGGGAUCGGCUCAGCCUCGCUCACAUUCACUCUAGGGGCUGACAAUUAUGACAGAAAUAGCACCAGGCAGUGGCUCUCUCUGCCAGAGGCAAGUUCUGUGACCUUGGACAUAAUUCCUAAUUUUUCUGAACCUGUUUUCUCAUCUGCAAAAUGGGGCUAAUGCCUCAGGGUUGUUUUGAAGGUGAAAUGCAAUAAUGUAGUGGGGGCCUGUAGUCCCAGUUACUACGGGAGGCUGAGGCAGGAGAAUUGCUUGAACCUGGGAGGCAGAGGUUGCAGUGAGCUGACAUCACACCACUGCACUCUAUCCUGGGCGACAGAGUGAGACUCAGUCUCAAAAAAAAAAAGAAAAAAGAAAAGAGAAAAAUGCAUUGAAACCUGUAAAAUGAAGAACAACUACAAACAUAGUUCACUGUAUCCUUAGUUUUGCAACAUUGGUCAUGAUUCCAUAUUGCAAUAUGUUGCUUGGCAUUUAUAGAUAGACAAAAACGUCCAGGACCCAUAUGCUUUAAGGAUUUAUUUUCCUCUAGCAGGUGGGAACCUAUUUGUGUUCAUUUCUCUAUUCAUUCCAAUCCUUGCCCAUCUCAUAACUUGGAGGCCAUAUUCAGAAGACCAAAUGUCAUGGUUUGGGGAUUAGUUUUAAAACAUGGAGGAGGGGAAAGCAUAUUCUUAGAGCAUAUAUGAGUAUGCCUAUAUGCAUGUGAGGAAUCAGAAUUAUAUUUGCAAAUAACACAAGAAUUGCAUGUGCUUCUAUACUUUAUUGAUUUGCCUCAGCUGUUAAAAAUGUCCCAAUAAAUCUAGUUGCUACCAAGGGACCAGCUAUAAAAAUAAAACUGAGC
rnacentral:lncRNA from 1 species